UUGGACCUUGGACCUGAUAUC
rnacentral:rRNA from 2 species